rnacentral:rRNA from 1 species
AUAUCAUUAAGCGGAGGAAAAGAAACCAACAGGGAUGCCCUCAGUAACGGCGAGUGAAGCGGGCAAAGCUCAAACUGAAAAUCGGGAACCUAAGCGGGUUUUCGAAUUGUAGUCUAACGACGUGGCAUCAGUAGGGACACGGGUAUAAAUCCUUUGGAACAGGGUAUCAGAGAGGGUGAGAAUCCCGUAUUUGACUCGGAGUUCUCUGCAUACGAUCCGCGUUCUCAGAGUCGAGUUGCUUGGGAUUGCAGCUCUAAGUGGGUGGUAAGUUUCAUCUAAAGCUAAAUAUGGACGAGAGACCGAUAGCGAACAAGUACCGUGAGGGAAAGAUGAAAAGAACUUUGAAAAGAGAGUUAAAAAGUACCUGAAAUUGUUAAGAGGUAAGCACUGGAAACCAGUCGUCUGUCUGCAAUCCUCGUUCGUCCGCUAGUCUUCAGCAUGGCGCUGCGACCGAAAGGCACAGUUGUUGUGUUCGGAGGCAUGUGGGUGGGCUCAGUUGUGGAUAGAAAGUCAAAAUCGUUUUGAUUCGAGGGAGAAAGCUAUGGGGAAGGUAGGGCAUUUAUGCCUGUUACAGCCCUGUAGUCCU